GUUCUGGCCCUUCAUGCGGGCGCUGGGCGGGAGCUUUCCCCCCUCUUGGGGCCGCCACGUCGGGGCCGCCGCGCUGCCUCCUGCCGGGGCCGCCUCUCCUCAAGGCUGGGCCGUGCCCCCCCGUUCGCUCACGCCGCUGCCUCCCCUCAGCGCGGCCCCCGCUGCGGAGCGGGGCUCAGCCCGGCCCGGCGCCGCCUUCUUGUGCGAUUCGCCCGGUCGCGACCAGCGGUGGCCCCCGUUCAGGGACCGGGUGUGGGGCCCCGGCCCCCCGCGGCUCGCUCCGGGGAUGCUGCGGGCCGGGGCAAGGCGCCAUUCCGCCUGGGUUCCCAGGGAGCAGCCUCGGGAACGUGGAAGAAGGAGAAAGGGGGGGGGGGGGGGAACGUGAAGUUUUGGCCGCUGCCGAGAGAGGUGCAGGGUUUCUGGUGGAAUUUGUAGUGUUUUAACCGCAACACAGCCGAGAGGUGCCGAGCACAGCGCGGGGGGCAGGCGCCGGAGCCCCCCUGCGGGAGACCUGGCCCUGAACCCGGGUCGGGUGGGCCUUGGAGGGGUCCCAAACCCUACCUGUAGGGUGUCUGUGGUGUCCCAAACCCUCCCCGUGGGGUGUCUCUGAGUCCCAAACCUCUGUCGCAGGGUGUCCAAGGGGUCUCGAACCCUCUUUGUGCGUAUCCUUGGGGUCCCAAACCCCAUGGAUGUGGUGGCCCCAGUUCGUGGUCCUGCGUGGGGCUUGGCGCAGGGGGAGGCUUCCCUCUGGUUUCUGCUCAGAGGCCUAUAAAUGGGCCUCCUGGGGGUUCAUUUUCUUGGGAACAGGUAGUUUUUGUGUCUGUAAAAUAAGUGCUGUUCCAUGGGUGGGUUGUGGUUGUGCUCAGAGUGAUGCAGCUCCGGUCCUGGCUGGCGUGCUGAGGAGGUAGCCUGCAAAAAUCAUUGGAUGCAAAUACAGUGUGCUUCAUUAGUAAGAGUUAUGCGCUGCUUGAAAUGCUUCUAACAGCAUGGUAAAACUCUCCUCCCACCUGCCCUCUUUAAAUGUGUUACCUACAGUUGAUCAGCCCUUGGGUUCCUGUAAAGAGAGGUCUCUGGCUUAAUUUAAGCUUAAUGUGGCUUAAUUUUAUGUGGUGAGUUAUUCCUUCUAACUGCAGUGGUAUAAUCAUGGAAUACCAGGUUGGAAGAGACCUCAAGGAUUACCUAGUCCAACCUUUAAACUGAGCAAUUCAGGUGGUUCAUGGUGUAUCUGCAGUGAUUUGAGCAUCACGGUUUUCACAGGAUAUUGAUGGGUCUCUUAUGUCCUUAUGGAAUCAGGACACGCUCCCAGGCACUACUUGAAGUGCUUCAGCUGCUGGCACACACCUUGUACAGACACUGAUCGCAGCUGCUCACACACCUCCCUGCUGUGUACUGCUAACGUGGUUCCUGUUUUUAACGGUCUUUUGUAAGUGACAAAACAUUUUAAUCAUGUCUGUGUCAUUUUCUAAAUCAGCUUAACACUGGGAUGAGCCCCCUUGAUGGGGAAGGGGUGCGAGGGCUGCUCUCCACAAUUGCCUUGCCUCUUGUGAUGGAUUUCUGAAGAGACUGUAUGGAUUCAACAUCUGUAGUGCAGACCCUGGGGCAGAAAUGUAGGGAUCAAGGCUGUGUUGAAAGGAGUGAUCGUGAGUGCUUGGCAGGGUCUCUUCUUCCUUCUUCACCUGCAUCAUCCUGCACCAAACUGGGUGUGAAAUCUUAAAAGAUGCCGCUAGAAGAGGGGAGAUUGGGAUGAGAUCUCCAGUUGACAGAGGCUUUUGGGAUGGGUGGGAGACCCGGCUCUUACUUCAGAAGCCAAGUACCAUUUUUUGAAGACUAGUACAGAUACCCUCUGGGCAUGUUGCCUAACGGCUGCUUUCAUUUUCCAUUUGGGGAUAAGUCUCCAGUUAAUCCUCACUGUGUAUGGUCUUAUCAGUUCCUGGUGGAACUUCUGGACAAUACACAAAACAGACUGUUAUUUAUUACAGCCGGGUCCUUGCAGACUGGGAACAAGCACUCUGGAUUUGCAGGCUGUUCUUGGUUCCAGUACACUUGAAGGCAACAGCCUCAUCACUUUUGCUGGGGCAAGGUUAUGUUUAUGGGUUGAUAUAUUGCUAUCUGGUUAUAUUCUAAAUAACAGAAUUAUUCUGAAUGUUGUUAUGUCUGUCCUCAGUUUUAAAGCUUUGUCUUCUUACUGAGGAGACUGUUGAGCAUCCCUAAAGAAUACAUCAAUUCUCUUAAUGUAUUUUGUGAAUAAUACGUACUUGGAGAGAAAAGCCCAACUCCUCCGGCAGUGACAUUAGUAGAGCUGAGCAUUAAGGAAGAUUUUGAUGCUUAUUCUUUUUUUUUGACUAUGCAUAUAUUUUGCGUGUUUGUAUUUGUUGGGAAACUUUACGAGGACAUAAAUUCUACUUAAUCAGAGCUUGUGAUGCUUCAGAAAUAGAAUAAUACUUUUCAGUGGAAACAUAUUUUGUUUUGCUGCUGGUUUGUUUGGGGCUUUCCUUUUCCUGCCUGGAAUCUCUUUCUGUGCUGUCUGUGAAACUUCAUGAGUUUGGGUGUAACCAGACACUGUAAAAUCCUUCAGAGCUAGGUGCUGGAGGGGUAAAUAUUUUUAUAUAUAAAUAUAUAAAUCAAAUAGAAAUAUAAAAAUAUUUGUAUAUUUAUAUUUGUUUGUUAUAUAUACGUAAAAAACCAGUUUAUUUUACAGUAGAAGCCUUAGGAAAUCACAACAGACCCACCACACAUUAGUAUUUCAGCUCCACUUUAAGUGGCAGGCCUGGCCCUGAGACUGAAACCUCUUGGUGCAGCUCGACAUUCACAUGGUGAGCAAGAAUAUUCAAGACUUCAGUGGUAAAAUCUGUUUAGAAGCAGCACAGAAACACCUGCAGGUAUUCUGGAGAAGAGGCAAACCUUUAAGUUCCGAGGUGCAGAGUACCUGCUGUCUGCUGUAAAUACUCCUCACGUGAGCGGAUUUUCCCUGAGGGUAACUUUUACUAUAAAUAGGAGCUCUUGGCCAUAUUGUAGCAUCUGGCACUGGUGCUGCUGGUGACAGCACAGCCCAGGCUUGGGCUGGUACAGCUGGUGAGACUAUG